rnacentral:rRNA from 1 species
UACGUAGGUGGCAAGCGUUACUCGGAAUCACUAGGCGUAAAGCGCAGGUAGGCGGUUCAGUAAGUCUUUUGUGAAAGCUCCCGGCUUAACUGGGAGAGGUCAAGGGAAACUACUGGGCUCGAGUGUGGUAGAGGAAGCUAGAAUUCCCGGUGUAGCGGUGAAAUGCGUAGAUAUCUGGAGGAAUACCGGUGGCGAAGGCGGCAUCCUGGACCAUAACUGACGCUGAGGCGCGAAAGCUAGGGGAGCAAACGGG